UACGUAGGUGGCAAGCGUUGUCCGGAUUUCUUGGGUUUAAAGGGUGCGUAGGCGGCUUUGUAAGUCAGUGGUGAAAUAUGGCAGCUUAACUGUCAGGGUGCCAUUGAUACUGCAGAGCUUGAGUACAGAUGAGGUAGGCGGAAUUGACGGUGUAGCGGUGAAAUGCUUAGAUAUCGUCAAGAACACCUAUAGCGAAGGCAGCUUACUAGGCUGUAACUGACGCUGAGGCACGAAAGUGUGGGGAUCAAACAGG
rnacentral:rRNA from 1 species